ACACACACACACACACACACACACACACACACACACGGGGUCAGGAGAAGUUUGCUCUCCAACAUGUUUCUAAUUGUGUGUGUGUGUGUGUGUGUGUGU